AAACUUGAGAGUUUGAUCCUGGCUCAGAACGAACGCUGGCGGCAGGCUUAACACAUGCAAGUCGAACGCGUGUAGCAAUACACGAGUGGCGCACGGGUGAGUAACGCGUGGAUAUCUGCCUUUUGGUUCGGAAUAA
rnacentral:rRNA from 1 species